UGUCAACUGAAACCAAAGUUUUUGACAUUGAACUUUGCCCUAGGCAGUCGUUCAUAAAUUAUGACACACCCUCUGGUGUUGGUUCAUAUACAUGUCAAGUAUAAACUUUGAAAUCAUAACGGUUCUCAAGAUAUAGAGCGGACACGAUCUUCACCACAGGACACAGGGUUGUCAACUGAAACCAAAGUUUUUGACCUUGACCUUUGACCUAGGAAGUUUUACAUACAUCAUGACACACCCUCUGGUGUUGGUUAAAAUGGAUGUCAAGUAUAAACUUUGAAAUCAUAACGGUUUUUAAGAUAUAGAGCGGACACAAAGUUAAAGUGUUACGGACGGACGGACGGACGGACAGACAGACGGACGGACAGACGGACGGACGGACGGACGGACAGACUGAUCACUAUAGGGCGACCCGCCUUAGUCGGCGGGGCCCUAAUUAUUAU
rnacentral:lncRNA from 1 species